rnacentral:rRNA from 1 species
CCUACGGGUGGCAGCAGUGAGGAAUAUUGGUCAAUGGGCUUACGCCUGAACCAGCCAAGUCGCGUGAGGGAAGACUGCCCUAUGGGUUGUAAACCUCUUUUGUCAGGGAGUAAUUGGCGCUACGUGUAGCGUUAUCGAGAGUACUUGAAGAAAAAGCAUGGGUUAACUCCGUGCCAGCAGCCGCGGUAAUACGAAUGGGGCAAGCGUUAUCCGGAUUUAUUGGGUGUAAAGGGAGCGAAGGCGGGAGUGCAAGCCUGAUGUGAAAGCUCGGGGCUCAACCCCGGGAGUGCAUUGGGAACCGCGCGACGCGAGUGCAGAAGAGGCAAGCGGAACUCCAGGUGUAGCGGUGGAAUGCGUAGAUAUAAGGAAGAACACCAGUGGCGAAGGCAGCAGUCCGG